UACGUAGGGGUGCGAGCGUUGUCCGGAUUUAUUGGGCGUAAAGAGCUCGUAGGCGGUUUGUCGCGUCGGCCGUGAAAUCUCCACGCUUAACGUGGAGCGUGCGGUCGAUACGGGCAGACUUUGAGUUCGGUAGGGGGAGACUGGAAUUCCUGGUGUAGCGGUGAAAAUGCGCAGAUAUCAGGGAGGGAAACACCCGGGUGGGCGAAAGGGCGGGGGUCUC
rnacentral:rRNA from 1 species